UACCAGCACCCCGAGUGGUCGGGACGUUUAUUGGGCCUAAAGCAUCCGUAGCCGGUUCUACAAGUCUUCCGUUAAAUCCAACUGCUUAACAGGUGGGCUGCGGAAGAUACUAUAGAGCUAGGAGGCGGGAGAGGCAAGCGGUACUCGAAUGGGUAGGGGUAAAAUCCGUUGAUCCAUUGAAGACCACCAGUGGCGAAGGCGGCUUGCCAGAACGCGCUCGACGGUGAGGAUGAAAGCUGGGGAGCAACCGGAUAGAACCCA
rnacentral:rRNA from 1 species